CAAGCGGAUCNCUUAAAGCNGUUCUCAGUUCGGACUGCAGUCUGCAACUCGACUGCACGAAGCUGGAAUCGCUAGUAAUCGCGGAUCAGCACGCCGCGGUGAAUACGUUCCCGGGCCUUGUACACACCGCCCGUCACACCAUGGAAGUCUGCAAUGCCCGAAGCCGGUGGCCUAACCACUUAUGUGGAAGGAGCCGUCUAAGGCAGGGCAGAUGACUGGGGUGAAGUCGUAACAAGGUAUC
rnacentral:rRNA from 1 species